CUGGGGCACAGCCAGGAAGAGGCCUCCACUCCUUCUGACACAGUCAUCUGAGCGCUCAUGUCUGCUGGAGGCGGCACCAGGGGAUACUCACCCAGGAGUCCAGGGGCCACCAGCCAGGCCAUCUGUGAGCUGCAAGAAGAGGUGUCCCGGCUUCGUCUGCGGCUGGAAGACAGCCUGCACCAGCCACUCCAGGGCAGCCCGACACGCCCAGCAUCUGCCUUUGACCGCCCCGCCCGGACCC
rnacentral:lncRNA from 1 species